GCUCCAGUGGUGCAAUGGGUUAGCACACAGUACUUAUAAUGCUGAGGUUGUGAGUUUAAGCCUCAUCUGGAGCA
rnacentral:tRNA from 1 species